rnacentral:rRNA from 1 species
UACAGAGGGUGCGAGCGUUAAUCGGAAUUACUGGGCGUAAAGCGUACGUAGUCGGCUUGUCAAGUCGGGUGUGAAAUCCCCGGGCUCAACCUGGGAACUGCAUCCGAAACUGACUUGCUAGAGUAUGGGAGAGGGAGGCGGAAUUUCUGGUGUAGCAGUGAAAUGCGUAGAUAUCAGAAGGAACAUCAGUGGCGAAGGCGGCCUCCUGGACCAAUACUGACGAUCAGGUACGAAAGCGUGGGGAGCAAACAGG